ACGGGUGCCGUGAGGCUUAAUAGAGAAACCGGUGCGAUGCCGGUACGGUCACGCCACUGUAAUGCGGAGAAUCUCAUAAUAUGUCACUGGCAGUUUGCUGGGAAGGCUUGAGGUUUGAUGAGGCAGAGUCAGGAGAACUGCCAGUCUG
rnacentral:ncRNA from 1 species